rnacentral:rRNA from 1 species
AGAGUUUGAUCCUGGCUCAGAUUGAACGCUGGCGGCAUGCCUAACACAUGCAAGUCGAACGGAAACGAUGCUAGCUUGCUAGCAGGCGUCGAGUGGCGGACGGGUGAGUAAUAUAUAGGGAUCUGCCUAAUAGUGGGGGACAACAUGUGGAAACGCAUGCUAAUACCGCAUACGCUCUACGGAGGAAAGUGGGGGAUCUUCGGACCUCAUGCUAUUAGAUGAACCUAUAUCGGAUUAGCUUGUUGGUAAGGUAAUGGCUUACCAAGGCAACGAUCCGUAGCUGGUUUGAGAGAAUGAUCAGCCACACUGGGACUGAGACACGGCCCAGACUCCUACGGGAGGCAGCAGUGGGGAAUAUUGCACAAUGGACGAAAGUCUGAUGCAGCAAUGCCGCGUGUGUGAAGAAGGCCUUCGGGUUGUAAAGCACUUUCAGAUGUGAGGAAAAGCAGUCUAUUAAUACUAGAUUGCCGUGACGUUAACAUCAGAAGAAGGACCGGCUAACUCCGUGCCAGCAGCCGCGGUAAUACGGAGGGUCCAAGCGUUAAUCGGAAUUACUGGGCGUAAAGCGCGCGUAGGCGGAUAUUUAAGUCAGAUGUGAAAUCCCUGGGCUCAACCUAGGAACUGCAUAUGAACUGGAUAUCUAGAGUAUGGUAGAGGUGAGUGGAAUUUCAGGUGUAGCGGUGAAAUGCGUAGAGAUCUGAAGGAACAUCAGUGGCGAAGGCGACUCACUGGGCCAUUACUGACGCUGAGGUGCGAAAGCGUGGGUAGCAAACAGGAUUAGAUACCCUGGUAGUCCACGCCCUAAACGAUGUCAACUAGGUGUGUGAGAGUCUAACUCUUGCGUAUCGAAGCUAACGCGAUAAGUUGACCGCCUGGGGAGUACGGUCGCAAGACUAAAACUCAAAUGAAUUGACGGGGGCCCGCACAAGCGGUGGAGCAUGUGGUUUAAUUCGAUGCAACGCGAAGAACCUUACCUGGCCUUGACAUGUAGUGAACUUACCAGAGAUGGUUUGGUGCCUUCGGGAACACUAACACAGGUGCUGCAUGGCUGUCGUCAGCUCGUGUCGUGAGAUGUUGGGUUAAGUCCCGCAACGAGCGCAACCCCUGUCCUUAGUUGCCAUCAUUUAGUUGGGCACUCUAAGGAGACUGCCGGUGACAAACCGGAGGAAGGUGGGGAUGACGUCAAGUCAUCAUGGCCCUUAUGGCCAGGGCUACACACGUGCUACAAUGGCUAGUACAAAGGGUUGCCAACUUGCGAGAGUGAGCUAAUCCCAUAAAGCUAGUCGUAGUCCGGAUCGGAGUCUGCAACUCGACUCCGUGAAGUCGGAAUCGCUAGUAAUCGCGGAUCAGAAUGCCGCGGUGAAUACGUUCCCGGGCCUUGUACGCACCGCCCGUCACACCAUGGGAGUGGGUUGCAAAAGAAGUGGGUAGACUAACCUUCGGGAGGUCGCUCACCACUUUGUGAUUCAUGACUGGGGUGAAGUCGUAACAAGGUAACC